ACCCGCACAAGCGGUGGAUGAUGUGGAUUAAUUCGAUGCAACGCGAAAACCUUACCCACCUUUGACAUGUACGGAACCCUUUAGAGAUAGAGGGGUGCUCGAAAGAGAGCCGUAACACAGGUGCUGCAUGGCUGUCGUCAGCUCGUGUCGUGAGAUGUUGGGUUAAGUCCCGCAACGAGCGCAACCCUUGUCAUUAGUUGCUACAUUCAGUUGGGCACUCUAAUGAGACUGCCGGUGACAAGCCGGAGGAAGGUGGGGAUGACGUCAAGUCCUCAUGGCCCUUAUAGGUGGGGCUACACACGUCAUACAAUGGCUGGUACAAAGGGUUGCCAACCCGCGAGGGGGAGCCAAUCCCAUAAAGCCAGUCGUAGUCCGGAUCGUAGUCUGCAACUCGACUACGUGAAGUCGGAAUCGCUAGUAAUCGUGGAUCAGAAUGUCACGGUGAAUACGUUCCCGGGUCUU
rnacentral:rRNA from 1 species